UAGCUGUAACUUUAUUUUAAGGGGGCUCUCUACAACGUCACAACAUGGCGUACUUCCGUAAAAACGCCAUUUUGAUCCCAAAUGAUCAGAUUCAAAUUCACUUAACACCGAUAAAUCACUGAGUAUAACACAACAUGCGAUAUUGUGGAUGGAAUGUACAUUAUAUCACAUCAAUUAAUACAGUGUAUUGCCCAAUACGUAUCCUUUCUUUAAAAAUGAAUUGUUUGUCAAUUUAUUCAAUUUCUACUUAUUUAGUUAUUAAAUAAUACAUUUACAAAUUUAUUAGAAUAAGAUUUUUAGAUGAGAAAAAAAUGAUAUAAAACAUGGCUUGUCCAUAUGCUAAUUCAUCAUUACGUGUCAAAACGCCAUACACUCAGAAAUUUAUUUCUCCAAUAAGCAUAUAUGCUUUUCAGCAAAAUAUAUCCCCCCUAAAAUGCAAAUUUGAUAAGAUAAGACAUGUAUUAUCUUCCCAUCGACUAGAGGAUACUCUGUUCUCGAUUUGUAUACACCCGAAGGAAUGGUUAUACCCGGUGAAAUUUCGCAUGACCCAAACGUUUGAUCACCAUUGAUUGUCAGCUGUUUACAAGUAUGGGAAACGUGCAGGUUUUAAACGAAGUGUGCAUUUGGUUAUAGGAAUUUCUUUUACCGCUUUUGGCCAUUUACCAUCUUAACUUGUUUUGUUAUAUAUAGCACUGAAUAACACAUGCAAGUUGGAUAAAAACGAUAUUGAAGAGGAUCCAACCAGCUAUUCUCAAGAAAAUGCUGUUUUAGUUUUUCUUUUGUCUAUUUUUGUAAAUUUAAAUAAAAAUUAUGUUGAUUUU